UACGGAGGGUGCAAGCGUUGUUCGGAAUUACUGGGCGUAAAGCGCGUGUAGGCGGCCAGAUGGGUCGGAUGUGAAAUCCCUCGGCUUAACCGAGGAAGUGCGUCCGAAACUAUUUGGCUCGAGUACGGGAGAGGAGGAUGGAAUUCCCAGUGUAGAGGUGAAAUUCGUAGAUAUUGGGAGGAACAUCGGUGGCGAAAGCGGUUCUCUAGACCGUUACUGACGCUGAGACGCGAAAGCGUGGGGAUCAAACAGG
rnacentral:rRNA from 1 species